rnacentral:sRNA from 1 species
UGUACAGUUUACAACAUCCACUCUCACAGCGCUACAUUACAUUCACAGUGUCAUCCUCUCUUGUUUAUUGGUAGUCGUUAGCUGCAUAUUUCACAACCAAAAGAUGAAGCUCUUCCUCUUUCUUUUCAUUUCGUUGGUCCUUAUCAACAUUACAUAUACGGAACCACGUUCGGCUUCUGUACAGAAACGUGGACUGUUCAAACGCGGACUAGCUACCAGGUUUCGGUAUGUAUGGAGUAAUACAUUCAUAUUUGGCAAACGUGGGGUGGACGGACAAGCAUCAUUUAAAGAAGAAGGAGGAAACAGAAGAAGAUUGUAGCAGUGAUGUAAAAAAGCAGUGACACUAUCGAAACCAUUAUUGAGACACUGAUCAAUUUUGGAGCCAACGUUUUUCUUGUAAAAGCAUUACAGCAAAUAAAUAAAUAAGUGCAAACCG